rnacentral:lncRNA from 1 species
AUGGAAAAAGAAAAAGAAGAGAAGGGUGCGAACGCCAGGGAGGAUAAUAAGGAGGAGGAUAAUAAAAAGGAGAAGGAACACAAGGAGAAGGAGGACAAGAAGGAGGAGGAGCAGGAGGUGAAAGUGCCACGGAGGUUAGACUGGUCAGGUGGGAUAUCCAAGAGAGUGAUUUGUUCAGCUGUGGCUGGAGGUAGCUUCAUUUUAGUCUUAGAGAUAGCAGUCAGCCUUAGUAAGCAAGCUGGAAAAAGAACAGAGGAUAUAAUCUUUGAAGGCGACUUCUGCCCAGAUGGCUCAACUGUGCGUCCAAAAGACCGGUUCAAAUGCUACUACCUAUCAGUGGAUAAAAAGUCCUGGAGUGACAGUCAGAAAAUGUGUAGGUCUCUUGGUGUAAAGGUGGCUAUAUUUAGAACCGCGGAGGAAACGGAAUUCCUGGGGAAACGCAUUGGCUGUCCUCACUACCGGCUUGAACUAAUUAAUGACAUGGGAACCUUAUCCUGGAAGCGGGCAGAUGGAACUGAGCCCUCCAAUUGAUGUCUCCUGGAAACAGAAGAGGUGGAAGAACAGAGGGAUAGACAUACAAUAUGAGCCUCACAUCUCCUCACUUUUAGUCCCUUCAAGUCCUACUCCCAGGUCACCCCUUCUCCACUAGGGACAUGGACCUCCAAACUUGGAUUCUACAUGUUGGGAUCUUGGCCUUCCUACACUCAGUGACACUGGAGAACAGAGUGAGGCAGACAAUUUUGCGCAGCUCUGACUCAUUUAAAUCCAAUUCAUGGGCAAGUCAAGACAUCACCCUUGUGAUGUCAUUGGUCCUCUUCAGUAAUGUUGGAUGAAAAACAUGUUGGGGAAACAGGACAGUGGCCUGAGGGGAGGGGCCACAGCUGUUAAAGAUACAGUUGCCAGCAAAGGGACAAGAAAGUGAGUCAUUUUGGGGGAAACAGUGAAUAGUCUAAGUUUUGAAGGAGCAGAGGGUACAGUGAGAGAUAAGAGAUGAAAUAUAGAUUUGGGUUAGAUUGUGGAAGACAUUGGAAUGCCAGGCUAAAACAUUUGGACGUUAUUGGUAGGUAAUACAUAGACAUCGAAGGACUCUGAUUAGAGGGAUAACAUGAUCACUGCUAUAAAUUAGAAGUUUAAUUUGACAAUAGGGUAUAUGAUAGGGAGACAGAGGAGAUUAUUAAGGGAGUUUUUUAGUGAGAUCAUUGCAAUGGUCCAAAAAGAAGCAAUAUGGGAAUCAACUUGGAUGGUGACUUUGGAAACAGAAAUGAGGAAUACAAUGAUGAUGAUGACAAAGACAAUAAUAAUAAUUAAAUAAACUUUAAGGUUUGUAAAGCA